ACCUUACCAGCUCUUGACAUCUUCUGACAACUCUAGAGAUAGAGCGUUCCCUUCGGGGACAGAAUGACAGGUGGUGCAUGGUUGUCGUCAGCUCGUGUCGUGAGAUGUUGGGUUAAGUCCCGUAACGAGCGCAACCCUUGUUGUUAGUUGCCAGCAUUAAGUUGGGCACUUUAACGAGACUGCCGGUGAUAAACCGGAGGAAGGCGGGGAUGACGUCAAAUCAUCAUGCCCCUUAUGAGCUGGGCUACACACGUGCUACAAUGGAUGGUACAACGAGCAGCGAUCCCGCGAGGGCUAGCUAAUCUUUCAAAGCCAUUCUCAGUUCGGAUUGCACUCUGCAACUCGAGUGCAUGAAGUCGGAAUCGCUAGUAAUCGCGAAUCAGAAUGUCGCGGUGAAUCCGUUCCCGGGUCUUGUACACACCGCCCGUCACACCACGAGAGUUUGAAACACCCGAAGUCGGCCGGCCAACCC
rnacentral:rRNA from 1 species